ACUCAAAGGAAUAGACGGGGGCCCGCACAAGCGGUGGAGUAUGUGGUUUAAUUCGAAGCAACGCGAAGAACCUUACCAGGUCUUGACAUUGAUGGACAGAAUUAGAGAUAAUUCCUUUCCUUCGGGAACCAGAAAACAGGUGGUGCACGGUUGUCGUCAGCUCGUGUCGUGAGAUGUUGGGUUAAGUCCCGCAACGAGCGCAACCCUUGUCUUAUGUUGCCAGCACGUAAAGGUGGGAACUCAUAAGAGACUGCCGCCGAUAAGGCGGAGGAAGGCGGGGAUGACGUCAAAUCAUCAUGCCCCUUAUGACCUGGGCUACACACGUACUACAAUGGGCUAAGCAGAGGGAAGCGAGCUAGUAAUAGUGAGCGAAUCCCAUAAACUAGCUCUCAGUUCGGAUUGUAGGCUGCAACUCGCCUACAUGAAGUCGGAAUCGCUAGUAAUCGCGGGUCAGCAUACCGCGGUGAAUACGUUCCCGGGCCUUGUACACACCGCCCGU
rnacentral:rRNA from 1 species